AGUGAACGCUGGCGGUAGGCCUAACACAUGCAAGUCGAACGGCAGCACAGUAAGAGCUUGCUCUUACGGGUGGCGAGUGGCGGACGGGUGAGGAAUACAUCGGAAUCUACUUUUUCGUGGGGGAUAACGUAGGGAAACUUACGCUAAUACCGCAUACGACCUACGGGUGAAAGCAGGGGAUCUUCGGACCUUGCGCGAUUGAAUGAGCCGAUGUCGGAUUAGCUAGUUGGCGGGGUAAAGGCCCACCAAGGCGACGAUCCGUAGCCGGUCUGAGAGGAUGAUCAGCCACACUGGAACUGGGACACGGUCCAGACUCCUACGGGAGGCAGCAGUGGGGAAUAUUGGACAAUGGGCGCAAGCCUGAUCCAGCCAUACCGCGUGGGUGAAGAAGGCCUUCGGGUUGUAAAGCCCUUUUGUUGGGAAAGAAAAGCAGCAGGUUAAUACCCCGCUGUUCUGACGGUACCCAAAGAAUAAGCACCGGCUAACUUCGUG
rnacentral:rRNA from 1 species